rfam:Neisseria mucosa C102 genomic scaffold supercont1.2, whole genome shotgun sequence.
AUAAAGAAACAGGGGUGCUGCUUUCAAACCGAGCGGCUGAGAAAUACCCUUUACACCCGAACAGGAUAAUACCUGCGUGGGGAGUUUCGGCAAAUGUGAU